rnacentral:rRNA from 1 species
UGAGGAAUAUUGGUCAAUGGGCGAGAGCCUGAACCAGCCAAGUCGCGUGAAGGAAGACAGUCCUAAGGAUUGUAAACUUCUUUUAUACGGGAAUAACGGGCGAUACGAGUAUUGCAUUGAAUGUACCGUAAGAAUAAGCAUCGGCUAACUCCGUGCCAGCAGCCGCGGUAAUACGGAGGAUGCGAGCGUUAUCCGGAUUUAUUGGGUUUAAAGGGUGCGUAGGUUGUUCGGUAAGUCAGCGGUGAAACCUGAGCGCUCAACGUUCAGCCUGCCGUUGAAACUGCCGGGCUUGAGUUCAGUGGCGGCAGGCGGAAUUCGUGGUGUAGCGGUGAAAUGCAUAGAUAUCACGAGGAACUCCGAUUGCGAAGGCAGCUUGCCAUACUGCGACUGACACUGAAGCACGAAGGCGUGGGUAUCAAACAGG